rnacentral:rRNA from 1 species
AUGGCGGACCGCGUCCACCCCGCGCCGCUGCUGCCGCUCUCCACCCCACCUGCUCCGCCAACCGACAACAGCGACGCGGCCGCGGAGACCGCGCCGCUGCGCUCCGCAACACCGGCAGCGGCGGCGGCGCCGGGCGCGUCGUACAUCGUGCAUGUGCCCAAGGACCAGGUGCUCCGGGUCCCGCCCCCGGACCGCGCGCGCAGGUACCGCAAGCUCGCCGCGCGGCCGGCCCGGCGCCGCAUGCUCCGCCGCGCAUGCUGCGGCGCCUGCUGCGCGCUCCUCCUCCUGCUCGUCCUCGCCGCCGCGUUCGUCGGCGCCGUCUACCUCGUCUUCCGCCCCAGGGCGCCCUCCUUCACCGUCACGUCCCUCUCCGUCGCCGGCCUCCUCGACCCCUCCCCCGCGCGGCUCGACGCCGCCGUGCGCGCGGACAACGGCGCCAACAAGAAGGUCGGCGUGGACUACCGCGGCGGCGGCGAGGUCAGCGUCUCCUACUCCGGCAUCCUCCUCGCGACGGGACGGUGGCCGGCCUUGUACCAGGCGCCGAGGAACGUGACGCUCAUCUCGAUGCCGCUCACCGGGAGGGACGGCCUGGCCCUCACGGACGACCAGAGGGCGCGGCUGGCGGAGCAGGCCGCGGCGGGCGCCGUGCCGCUGACGGUGGAGGCGCGGGUGCUGGCGCGGGUGAGGCUCGGGAAGGUCCUGCGGACGUGGACCGUGGACGUGUGGGCGCGGUGCGAGGUCACGGUGGACAGGAUCGACGGCGAGACCACGGCCGCCAACAGGGGGUGCACGGUGAAGGCCAAGCCGCUCUGGUGGUGGUGGUGA